AGAAGCACCCUGAGGUAAUAAGCACUGCUAAUUCUUAUAACCACGGUUAAAGUCCGUGGGCUCCUC
rnacentral:tRNA from 1 species